UACAGAGGGUGCGAGCGUUAAUCGGAAUUACUGGGCGUAAAGCGCGCGUAGGCGGCUUUGCAAGUCGGGUGUGAAAUCCCCAGGCUUAACCUGGGAACUGCAUUCGAGACUGCAUUGCUAGAGUAUGGGAGAGGGAAGUGGAAUUUCCGGUGUAGCGGUGAAAUGCGUAGAUAUCGGAAGGAACAUCAGUGGCGAAAGCGACUUCCUGGACCAAUACUGACGCUCAUGUGCGAAAGCGUGGGAAGCAAACAGG
rnacentral:rRNA from 1 species